UUCUUGUCCUUUUCCUUUUCUUUCUUCUUGUCUUUCUCCUUUUCCUUCUCCUUCUUGGCGGGCUUGC
rnacentral:ribozyme from 14 species